GGCCUCUUAGCUCAGUUGGUAGAGUGUCAGAUUCCAGCGUUUCGUUGUAUCCUGAAAGUCAGCGGUUCAAAUCCGCUAGGGGUCA
rnacentral:tRNA from 1 species